UUUUCAGCGGAGGUUCUUUUUCCAAGACUUUCUACAGUAUGCUACAUGAAAAAGAUGGAACAAUAAAGAAAAGAGAGCCAACCAUCAAGCAAUCAAGUCACUCCGACAUUUAGAUUAAGUCUGUUGUAAAACAGGUGAUGGAACAUAGAAGAAAAGAAAGCCAGCCAACCAUCAAUCAAUCAUGUUACUGUGAUGUGAUGAUAAGGUGAUGGAACAUGGAAGAAAAGAGAGCCCACCAUCGGACAUCAUGUCAUUCUGACAUGUGAAUGUGAAGAUUUUGUUUUCUUUAACGAAUUCCAUUUAUAUGGCAGUGGUGUGUUUGUGCAUUCAUCUUCAUCACCAAACUCCAUUUGAGUGAGGGCUUGAAAGGCUUAAAUCCUCUCUUGCAAAAGCCCUUGUUGU
rnacentral:sRNA from 1 species